AGGAGAAGAAUUUCAAAGGUUUGGUAAAAUCCUACUAAACAUCUAGAAUUCAGUAAGAAUUUUUAAAUAUAAUUUAUAGGAAAGGCCCAUGCAGAUAUUUUUUGUACUUGCAAUUGGAAAUACCAUGAAGAAAUUCUGCAGCUAUGCGAGAUGCUUUCCCAGGAGAUGCAAUCCAAUGAGGAUUCCAUCUGUUCUGAUUACAAGGCAGGACUACCAAUUUGUGUGUGCACACGGGGACACCUUGAGAAUGUGAGUCCUAAGAGGACAUGGACAGCUGGGUCUUUGAAAAGAAAUCUCAGACAAAACUUUUAUUUGUAGAUAGUGAGAAACAGGACAAGAAAACAGGCUGGGUUUGUUGUGACUAUAUCCCACAACCACAACAAUGUGUCUAUGGAAGAAUAGUUUGUAUCCUUGUUUAGAUUAAGAAAAACCAAUUUCCCAUAACUUUUAAAAACAGUCAAUUUGUAGCUUUUUUAUUUGUUUUUGUCAGAGCCCACAAAUGUCAGCUUUACACAUUAUUAUUACAUUUUUUGUUAA